rnacentral:rRNA from 1 species
GACGAACGCUGGCGGCGUGCUUAACACAUGCAAGUCGAACGGAAAGGCCCUGCUUUUGUGGGGUGCUCGAGUGGCGAACGGGUGAGUAACACGUGAGUAACCUGCCCUUGACUUUGGGAUAACUUCAGGAAACUGGGGCUAAUACCGGGUAGGAGAUCCUGCUGCACGGUGGGGGUUGGAAAGUUUCGGCGGUUGUGGAUGGACUAGCGGCUUAUCAGCUUGUUUGGGGGGUAGUGGCUGACAAAGGCUUUGACGGGUAGCCGGCCUGAGAGGGGGACCGGGGACAAUGGGACUGCGGGACGGCCCAGAAGCGUACGGGAGGCAGUGGGCGAGAGUAUGGCAGAACGGGCGGAAGCCUGAGGCAGAAACGCUGCGUGCGUGAUGACGGCUUUCGGGUUGUAAACCGCUUUCGACGGUGACGAAGAGUGAGUGACGGUAAUGGGUAAAGAAGCAACGGCUAACUACGUG